rnacentral:rRNA from 1 species
UACAGAGGGUGCGAGCGUUGUUCGGAAUUAUUGGGCGUAAAGGGCGCGUAGGCGGCUCGGUAAGUCGGGUGUGAAACCUCCAGGCUCAACCUGGAGACGCCACCCGAUACUGCUGUGACUCGAGUCCGGUAGGGGAGCGUGGAAUUCCUGGUGUAGCGGUGAAAUGCGCAGAUAUCAGGAGGAACACCAGCGGCGAAGGCGGCGCUCUGGGCCGGAACUGACGCUGAGGAGCGAAAGCGUGGGUAGCAAAUAGG